rnacentral:ribozyme from 12 species
ACCGACAAGAAUACAAACAAAGAGAAAAAAGAACGCAAUUAAAAACAAAAACAACAAAACAAAAAGCCCCCAUCAAUGGCGAGCAUGCUCUCACUCGCACCACCUCUCUCUUGCUCCUUCUCUUACUCCUCUCUUACUCC